CCGAAGCGUCCCUUGCGGCUAUUCCUCACGAUUCAAGCAUUUCAUACAUGUUGCGUCACAUACCUGUACUGCCUAGCAGCGGAAAGAAUUUCGAAUAGACCAUACUGCAGUAAAUCAGCAGUAAUGUGACAAAUUUAUUGCCUAGAAAGCAGUGGCACCUGCUGGCACAAAUGCAGAGUUCAAGGGCAAGGAUCUCCACCUCCGCAGCCCGUCGGCGGUCGUACAGACAAAUGUCGGUCGUGCACGUACAAAUUCAAAGCGACGGAACUGGUGCACAUCACAAUACAGGACGUCUAACAUCACCCAGCCACCCUUGAUGUCCGUAUUCGGUGUACGCUUUCAACAUCUGAAACGAAACGUUGUGUCGCAACCUUCGAGCCAGCAAGCAAGGCGGGACUUGGGGGGUCUGGGCGUGUCACAUAUAUCUUGAUUGCCCACAUAAGGGUUAAAGUAGUACAGAAAACAUCCUUCCAGGACAACAUGAAACAUGAAAACAGGACAACAUGAAAAAACAUCCUUCCAGAAAAUUCCUGGGCGUCACCCCAGGGCAGGUGACGCCCAUCUUGGUCAACUGGACAGGAGGGCCCAAUAGAACAAUAUCGGCGGAACUCGCCGGGAGAUACAGGAAGGUAACAAUCGAACGACACGGCAC